CGUGAAAUUACGCCUGCAUGAAGCCGGAAUUGCUGUAAUGGCAGGUCAGCAUACUGCCGUGAAUACGUUCCCGGGCCUUGUACACACCGCCCGUCACACCAUGAGAGUUGGAGAUACCCGAAGCCUGUGAGCUAACUUAACGAGGCAGCAGUCGAAGGUAGAAUCAAUGAUUGGGGUGAAGUCGUAACAAGGUACC
rnacentral:rRNA from 1 species